GCCCUUGUGGCGGAAUUGGUAGACGCGGCAGACUCAAAAUCUGUUGUAUGUAGAUACGUGGGAGUUCGAGUCUCCCCGAGGGCA
rnacentral:tRNA from 1 species